UAUAUUUGUUUUCCAACUAGUGUCCAGAAGA
rnacentral:piRNA from 1 species